rnacentral:rRNA from 1 species
GCAACGCCGCGUGAGGGAUGAAGGCCUCUGGGCUGUAAACCUCUUUUAUCAAGGAAGAAGAUCUGACGGUACUUGAUGAAUAAGCCACGGCUAAUUCCGUGCCAGCAGCCGCGGUAAUACGGGAGUGGCAAGCGUUAUCCGGAAUUAUUGGGCGUAAAGCGUCCGCAGGCGGCCCUUCAAGUCUGCUGUUAAAAAGUGGAGCUUAACUCCAUCAUGGCAGUGGAAACUGAGGGGCUUGAGUGUGGUAGGGGCAGAGGGAAUUCCCGGUGUAGCGGUGAAAUGCGUAGAUAUCGGGAAGAACACCACUGGCGAAGGCGCUCUGCUGGGCCAUCACUGACGCUCAUGGACGAAAGCCAGGGGAGCGAAAGGGAUUAGAUACCCCUGUAGUCCUGGCCGUAAACGAUGAACACUAGGU